rnacentral:rRNA from 1 species
AGACAGAGGGUGCGAGCGUUAAUCGGAAUUACUGGGCGUAAAGGGCGCGUAGGUGGAUUGUUAAGUCGUGUGUGAAAGCCCCGGGCUCAACCUGGGAAUCGCAUAGGAUACUGAUGAUCUAGAGUACUGUAGAGGGUAGUGGAAUUUCCGGUGUAGCGGUGAAAUGCGUAGAUAUCGGAAGGAGCACCAGUGGCGAAGGCGACUACCUGGACAGAUCCUGACACUGAGGUGCGAAAGCGUGGGGAGCAAACAGGAUUAGAAACCCUAGUAGUCC